UCCUUCAGUAACUGCGAGUGAAGAGGGAAAAGCUCAAAUUUUAAAUCCCUUAGGUUUUACCUGACCGAGUUAUAAUUUGAAGAGGCGUUUUCUGAGGUUCUGAUCAGUCCCAGUCCCUUUGGGAUAAGGCGUCACCGGAGGGUGAGAAUCCCGUUCGGUUGAUCAGAUCUUCUUUACGAUACGUCAUCAAAGAGUCAAGUUGUUUGGGAAUGCAGCUUUAAAAUGGGAGGCAAAUUUCUCCUAAGGCUAAAUAACGGCGAGAGACCGAUAGCGAACAAGUACCGUGAGGGAAAGAUGAAAAGAACUUUGAAAAGAGAGUUAAAUAGUACGUGAAAUUGUUGAAAGGGAAACGAUUGAAGCCAGUCGUACUGGCGGGCAAUCAGCCUUUUGGGUAUGAUUAUGUGGGGCUUGAGGAGUUAAUCACCCUCAUCUUUGCAUAUUUGUGCACUUUGGAUGUACUUGCUCGUGUGGUAGGUUAACAUCAAUUUUAGUCAUCAUAAAAUGAUUGAAGGAAUGUAGCUUCGAUCUCGUAUUGAAGUGUUAUAGCCUUUGGUAGAUGUGAUGAUCGGGAUUGAGGAUUGCAACGGAUACCCU
rnacentral:rRNA from 1 species